CACGUAGGAGGCAAACGUUAUCCGGAUUUACUGGGCGUAAAGCGCGUGUAGGUGGUUCUGUAAGUAGGGCGUGAAAGCUCCCGGCUCAACUUGGAGAAGGCCGUUCUAAACUGCAGAGCUAGAGGAUGGUAGAGGGAGGUGGAAUUCCAGGUGUAGCGGUGGAAUGCGCAGAUAUCUGGAGGAACACCAGUGGCGAAGGCGGCCUCCUGGACCAUUCCUGACACUCAGACGCGAAAGCUAGGGUAGCAAACGGGAUUAGAUACCCCUGUAGU
rnacentral:rRNA from 1 species